rnacentral:rRNA from 1 species
CCUACGGGGGGCAGCAGUCGAGAAUCAUUCACAAUGGGGGAAACCCUGAUGGUGCGACGCCGCGUGGGGGACGAAGGCCCUCGGGCUGUAAACCGCUUUCAGCAGGGAAGACGUCGACGGUACCUGCAGAAGAAGCUCCGGCUACCAACGUGCCAGCAGCCGCGGGAUUACGUAGGGGGCGAGCGUUAUCCGGAUUCUUGGGGCGAAAAGCGCGCGUGGGCGGCCGCCUAAGCGGAACCUCUACCCCCGGGGCUCAACCUCGGGGCGGGUGCCGGACUGGGCGGCUCGAGUGCGGUAGAGGAGAGCGGAAUUCCCGGUGUAGCGGUGGAAUGCGGAGAUAUCGGGAAGAACACCGAUGGCGAAGGCAGCUCUCUGGGCCGUCACUGACGCUGAGGCGCGAAAGCUGGGGGAGCGAACAGGAUUAGAUACCCCUGUAGUC